AAGUGGAUAGUGAAACCUGGUGGCUCAACCAUUCAGACUAUUAUCCAAACUGCUAAGCUCGAGAAUGGUAGAGGUAGCUGGAAUUUCUAGUGUAGGAGUGAAAUCCGUAGAUAUUAGAAGGAACACCAAUGGCGUAGGCAGGCUACUGGACCAUUUCUGACGCUGAGGCACGAAAGCGUGGGGAGCGAACCGGAUUAGAUACCCGGGUAGUCCACGCCGUAAACGAUGGAUACUA
rnacentral:rRNA from 1 species